GGACCUGGCGGCUAUCGGAUUGAUACUAAGCCAUGCGAAUCAUUGUAGCAAUACAAGGCAUACGGCUCAGUAACGCGUAGUCAACCUAACCUAUGGACGGGAAUAACCUCGGGAAACUGAGAAUAAUGCCCGAUAGAACAUUAUGCCUGGAAUGGUUUAUGUUCCAAAUGAUUUAUCGCCGUAGGAUGGGACUGCGGCCUAUCAGUUUGUUGGUGAGGUAAUGGCCCACCAAGACUAUUACAGGUACGGGCUCUGAGAGGAGUAGCCCGGAGAUGGGUACUGAGACACGGACCCAGGCCCUAUGGGGCGCAGCAGGCGAGAAAACUUUGCAAUGUGCGAAAGCACGACAAGGUUAAUCCGAGUGGUUUCUGCUAAAGAAACCUUUUGUCAGUCCUAGAAACACUGAUGAAUAAGGGGUGGGCAAGUUCUGGUGU
rnacentral:rRNA from 1 species